rnacentral:rRNA from 1 species
ACAAACGACUCUCGGCAACGGAUAUCUCGGCUCACGCAUCGAUGAAGAACGUAGCAAAAUGCGAUACUUGGUGUGAAUUGCAGAAUCCCGUGAACCAUCGAGUUUUUGAACGCAAGUUGCGCCCGAAGCCAUUCGGCUGAGGGCACGUCUGCCUGGGCGUCACG